rnacentral:lncRNA from 1 species
GUAAGUGAACAUGCGGUUAUACGUAAAGCAAAAGAAGCAAAAGAAGCAAAAGAGCUAAAGACAAUGAAAACAAUGAAAACAAUGAAAACACUGAAAACAAUGAAAACACUGAAAACAACUGAUUGGUGUGUUUUAAAUAAUUGGGACAAGUGGUAUUUACAAGAUAAUAAUAAUAAUAAAAAAUAUUUCUGUUUGUAUCUUUUUUUAAACGAUAUUACAGUGUUUUAUAAAAAAAAAGACAUAAAAAUAAAAGAAAAAAUGAAUAACUAUAAUGUGAAUGAAAAAGAAAAUAGAGACAAUAGUGAGAAGAAGGAUGUGUUGAAUACAUCAAGGUUGUAUUUGCCAAAAAGGUGGCUCAUUGAUAAUGUUAAUGGACAAGAGUUACAAAUAAGGAACAAAAACAAAAAAAAUAUUCAAUCGUUUGUUCAAAGUAAUGUAAGAAAUGGAGAUUAUAUUGGUACAAGUGAGGAGAAACAUAAAAAAAGUAGAAACAAUGAAAUUGAAAAAAUUUAUGCUGAUAAUUAUUUAACCAACUAUGUGCACAAUAAUUAUACAAAUCGUUAUAAAAUGAAAAGUAUACAUAACGACAGUUUAAAUCACAAGGAUGGUUUCUCAUAUUCUGAUAAAAAUGAUAUAAUACAGAUAAAAAAUAUGUAUUCUCAUGACGUACAAAAUGGUUGUAAUACUAAAAAUAUUAAUGAACAAGGUCAUAAUAAUAACAAUAAUAAAGAAGACAUUGUAUAUGUGAAAUAUUUUUCUAAUAUGGAUGGUUUUAAAAAUUUAUCAUUAAGUGAUGUAUCAUGUUCAUCUUUUGGAAAAAAAACAUCACUGUAUAAAUACAAUGAGUAUAACCUUUUGAAUGAUGGACAUAGUGAUACCUACUUGGCUUAUCCUACAGGGUUGCACAGUCAUGCUGACCUAUACGAUCAUGCUGACCCAUACAAUCAUGCUGAUGCGAAACCUAUCCAACUUACUCACCAGAAUGAUCACUUGUCUAGCCAACGUAUACAUAACAACAUAUACAAAUACGAUGACAACAAAAAUGAAUUAAAAAAAAAAUUAUUAGAAAAAGAAACACAUGUCAAUGAAUCAGAUAUCAA